UGGAAAACUGGGCAGGCUGUGGCAACACACGCGUAGAAAAGGAGGCAGUUAUCUCCCUACAAAUCCCAUAGCAGGCAUAGGGAUCUGUACCACCAUGGGAGAAGGGAACAAAGAACAGCUGACUGUUAUUCUUCUGAUUGUAGCAGCUGAUAAAAAUGGAUGGAGAAGGGUUAGCAGUCAAGGAGAGUGUUAGCCAGCACAGAAUGUGCAGAGAUGCUCUCCCAGCAUAAUCUGCUCUCAGGAAAUGUUAGAUACAGCAGAAAACUCCUUUCCAUACCUGUGGGGAGGGGGAAAGGUAUUAACUCUGCUCUCCUGCCUUAAGUGAUUAAUGUGGCCAUGAAACAAACAUCCAUGAAGCAAGGCUAGAGAGAAUCAGUGCAGUUCUGUCAGGUCUUCUGGGCAGAAUCACUUCCUUUCAAAAAGGGAAAUGGGAUGCCUGUGAGUGGUCCUGCAGGGAGAGGGGCAGGAGCUGGCUCCUCUGCAAGGCAUGGCUGGGGAAUGUGCUGCAAACCUGGCCUUGGCUGCGUUAUCUGAGCAGGAUCCAGCACAUCCAGCCCUCGUUGGGAGCAAAGGGACACCCUCCUUCCCCUUGCCAGCCACGAACCCGCGCAGCCUGCUGCCUGCCCAAAGGAUACGGCGAUUUAGCAAGAAGCAGGAGCAAGCCUUGUCUCGUUCCCACGGCACGAAGCCACAGCACAGUGCGCGCGUGUGAUAGGAGCCCGAGGGCACCAGCAUGGCCAGCAGCCAAGCUGACCAGCGGACAGGGGACACGUCCAACCCACAGCUGUGCCAGACCGGUGCCAAGGGCGGUCACAGCUGCAGCAGCAAUGGCCGAGACACCCGGACCUUGCAUCCCCAGCGCAGAGGGACUUUUAUCAUGGGCCAGAGGAAGCCAGGGCUGCGCAGCUCAUCAUUGCUUGGCUCGAAGCAUGGCGAAGGAGCAUCGAGUGCCAAGCACGGGAUGUGGAGAUGCAUCUUCUCAGACCAGGAUUGAGAGCAGCAAACUCUGUUCCCAUGGUUACUGAGCAGCUACCCAUCAGGCCCCAUCUCACAUCACUAACUCUGCCACUUAAUUAACUGACUGCUCGUUAUUUCCCGAAAUGAGCUCCUCCAUCCUCCUGCUUGCCUGAAAUUCAGCUCUCAGAUGCUCUCCACAGAGCAGCCCGUCUGGCUUUAGUGCCCUGCUUCAUUUAAACCUCAUCUGCCACUCAGCAAGGGUUGGAAAGGGCUGGAAACCAGCCCCGGGACCGCGGGAGGGCUCCAAGGGGAAGUUUUUCUUUGGGGACACCAGCCACUUCCAGCUAGGAUGAAGUAAAUAGGAUCACAUCGGCACAGAGCCGUGUCUGAGCCCUUUUAUCACUGAGCCCUCGGCGCCUGCCUUGCUGCAGACUUCUGCUAGCGAAAGGUCACUGGGCCCCAUCCUUCCAUUAUCUGCACAGGAAUGCGCAUUGAGGGGUCAUUCCGGGAUGAGCUGGAGGGAAGGGAAUAAUUAGCUGCGUUCAUAAAAUAUUACUCAGUAUUGGCUGGUAUUUCUGCUGCGCCCUCAAACAAACGGGCUCACACUGCACCCGGCUCAUGCGCAGCACCCUGAGCCCUCCCUCAUUGUCCCAGGCCUGGUGGGAGGAAAGUUUUCGGUUUCCUCCUCAGGGAAGGACUCCAGAGCUACCUGUGCUCUGUUUCCUAUGUCUUUGCCCUUCUGUACCCAACCUUUUCUCCAGCAGCCUCCCUCCUGGACGAGCAGCCCUUCCCGUGCGGCUGCUAGCAGCUCUCCCUGACCCUUAAUCUCCCUGCUGCUGCUGCCUCACAUUAGCAUCCCUCUCUCUGUGAGGCUGAACAAAUCCACACAAAACAAGGGGGUUUAAAGAACUUGUCGAUUGAGUCAAACACUGGCACGCUCUGCCCGGCAGAUAAUUGCUUUGAGGAGCUGCUGCUUUCAGCUGCAGGCACUCGCGGGGCUCGGCUGCAGGAGGUGACCGGGGUGGGACAAGGGGUUUAACUCUCAUAGGUAGCUACAGAGGAGGUCCU
ensembl:lncRNA